UACGUAGGGGGCGAGCGUUGUCCGAAGUUACUGGGCGUAAAGCGUGCGCAGACUGUUUAGUAGGUCUUAUGCGAAAUCCGGUGGCUCAACCACCUGGACUGUAUGAGAAACCCCUAGACUUGAGGUAGGUAGGAGGUACAUGGAAUUUCUGGUGUAGGAGUGACAUCCGUAGAUAUCAGAAGGAACACCAAUGGCGAAGGCAGUAUACUGGGCCUUACCUGACGUUCAGGCACGAAAGCGUGGGUAGCAA
rnacentral:rRNA from 1 species